GAUGAACGCUGGCGGUGUGCCUAAUACAUGCAAGUCGAGCGAACAGACGAGGAUCUUACUCCUCUGACGUUAGCGGCGGACGUGUGAGUAACACGUGGAUAACCUACCUAUAAGACUGGGAUAACUUCGGGAAACCGGAGCUAAUACCGUAUAACAUGUUGAACCGCAUGGUUCAACAGUGAAAUACGGUCUUGCUGUCACUUAUAGAUGGAUCCGCGUCGCAUUAGCUAGUUGGUAAGGUAACGGCUUACCAAGGCAACGAUGCGUAGCCGACCUGAGAGGGUGAUCGGCCACAAUGGAACUGAGAGACGAGCCAGACACCGAGGGGAGGCAGCAGUAGGGAAUCUGCGGAAAUGGGCGAAAGCCUGACGGAGCAACGCAGCGUGAGUGAAGAAGGGCUGCGGAUCGUAAAACGCUGUUAUUAGGGAAGAACAAAUGUGUAAGUAACUAUGCACGUCUUGACGGGACCUAAUAAGAAAGCCACGGCUAACUACGU
rnacentral:rRNA from 1 species